UGGGUUGUCAUUGCUGUGUUAUUCUGACACUCCUUUCGAAUUGAGUGUGUAUAGCAAUUUCGUCAUUGUCCUCUUACAGCUUUCCUGUUUGGUGGGCUCCAUUUAUAUGUGCUGGCUUUGUCUACAUGUGCCACGUUAAUGCCUCCCGCCGCUUAGCCUAAUCACCUUAUCCCUUUCGCUUUAUCUCUGAACUAAAUCGUGACGGGAUCAGGUCAAAAAAAAAUCUUGACGGGACACAUGAGAGCGAGGGGGAGCCGGGGAGGAGGUGCAUCGCGUGUGGCUCCACCAUGUCGCCGACGAGCGUGUCGCGGGAGACUCUGCCAUUCCGACGAGCGUGAGGAAGCGCGUCGCGUCCCGGGAGGAUCCCAAGGCCGCUGCUGACAAGCGCGAUGAGGCCCGUCACGGGAGGCUCCGCUAGGACGCCUCCGAGGAGCACGAGGAGGCAAGUCGUUGCGAGGGCGGCGCCAGGCCGUAGUCGAAUCUUCCACGUACAUCUUCCCCUCCUAGGGCUAUCACGCUCCUCAUUCGCUGGCCGUCAUGCCGUGACCGAGCCAACCAUUGGGGCUCUCUUCCCCUUCCCAGGCUCCCCCAAGGUGGAUGGCCGCGAGGAGGACGAUUUCGGCGCCCUCUUCCCUCUCCCAGGGGGCCAGGGCGGUUACCGGGGCGGAGGACGUCAGCGCGGCCAUGGGAGAAGCCGGCGCGCCCAGUGCUCACGGCAUCGCAGCUGCUCUCUCCUGUGCGGAUGAAACUACUGCUGCUGGCCUAUCUUUCUGCUACCUAAACUAGAUGACAUACCAUUGAAGAUCAAAUUAUUCCUAAGUUUCCAGAUUGACCAUAAGACAUCAGCACAAGUGGAAUUUAAAACAGAUUUGGUGGAACAUCUUAAGAACUAUCAAGAGAUGGCAGAGCCUUUUCAAGGCAUCGGAUGCUGCUAAUCGCUCCUGGUAUUCCCAAGAUCCGCUUCCCAUCUCUAGGCUUACUGGCGACUAGCUGAAGUUGGGCUUCUCUGGAGCAAAAAUGCAGCCCCCGAUGCUCGGCAGCUUCGCAAGCCCCACAUCUACGCUUGACGCCGCUUCCUGGACGACUACCAUGGUUCUCCAUUAGCCUGCAGCCAUGGAGGCAGAUGAAUCUAUUGCAAAAAAAAAAGGGAAUCGCUGCAGGUGUUACUUUUGAGUUAUCUAAAACCUUUGCAAAUUUCCAUUUGGCCUGCGUGCCCCCAUAGGUUCUAGCUUUAUUCAUGCAAAAGUUUCUGAAUUUGUAGUCUUUAUCGCAUCUUGCAUCUUGCAAUCCCUGUUGACUGUACUCUGCCUUAUGUUGAGGGCUUCUUAAUUGGAGCCGGGAGGAUGACCUCCUGUUCAUCUAUACUAGAAGAUAUAUUAUACCACUUCAUGGUAUUUUCUGUACUUAGUGGACAAAAUAGAUGAGAAUUUGCUAUAGCAGUUUCCGUUUCCUGAAUAUAAUGAUCCGAGUGUAGGCCAAAAAGAGGUAUUGAAGGAUGUAUUCUUUUUCUAAAAACCACAACCACGUGUUGUUUAAUUUCAGCUUCUAAUGUGCUCAUGUGUACACAUGCCUCUCUGAUUUUGACAGUAUUAUUCCGUUUUAUCCCCUAUUCAUACAAACAUGAAUUAGUAAUUUCACCACACUUUGUUAACUGAGAUGUGCCUAUGUUAUAGUUUGUAAAUGAUAUGUGAUAUCCGGUUGUUGUUGUUGUUGCAGAAACCUGAAAGGAACUCUUCCUGGAUGAGUAGUGAUCGUCAUGGACGCAGUGUGAGUAACCUGUGCCGCUUCGCUCGCUCUCUGCUGCUGAGAUCUCUGAGGGUGCCCACCCAAUUGUGGAUGACAAAAGAAUUCUCAGGCUUUGAUACUAUUUGAUGUUGGUGCCUACCCAAUGGUAUCAUGGGUGGAGAGUGAUGAAGUUGAUGUUGGCUUCAAGAUCAUAUAAUGGUAUCUUCAAUGUGAUUCGAACAAAUGGAUGCAUGAUGCAUAAUCACAGCAAAUGGAGAGUGAUGAAGUUGAUGUUGGCUUCAAGAUCAUAUUGAUGGUGAUGUCACAAAAUUUGGCGCGCCAUGAUGCCCUUCAUUCUUUUACCAGGUGAUCUAGCGCUUGGCUGCCGGUGGAUUUGGUGGUUGCUUCAUUCCUGGAUGAUCUGGGCCUACCUGUUGGUAUGUGCGAUGGUCCGAUAUGGCAAGGUACCUCGGUCACCCACGCAUGAGCCACAGGCGGAUAGUCUCCUCUCCUGAACUUCAUGGUAAGAACGAAAAACCAAAACGCUGUAGACUGUGAGCUGGAGGAGUGCCGGCCAAAAACCAAAGAAGAAGAAAUGCAGAUCAAGCGCACCACUGAGUCAAUCAAGUCAGACUGCGACACCAACACUAAGGGAAAUGAGAGGUUUUUCGUCUCAAUGGCUCCCACUUCCUCAAGUUGGUCGAGGCUGGACCUUCAGCGACAGCAGAUGCAUCCCCUCCGUCUCUUGCCUCCCCCUCUAAAGACAACGAGAUCACCGUCUUCUCCACAAUGAGGAUGACGCGGUCAAGUGUAACCCGCUCCAGGGAGAAAAUUAUCUAACUUUCUGAAAUGCUACAGUUCACUACUAAUUGGUUAUAUGCCAUAGUACAAUAAGUAAUUCCUUUUCUAUAUUUCAUGUUGCUCUGUAUGGAUAUGACCGAUGUACUAAAGACUACCUCAUCUUAUUGUCUUUCUGUUGCCCCUAAUCUCACUUCAGCUAAUAAUAAGUGAUGGUCUAUAUAUUUUCAGCUUUUUUUUUGCUUUGUUUGCUAAUGCAUCACAGUUAGUUUUCAAAUUCAGAAGAGAGAAUUUCAAACUGGUUCAUAUAAUAGCAGACAUAUAAAAGAAAAUUUUCUUUUAGUAGUGCAGUAGCUUAUUUUUUGACAAGGCGUAAUGGCAUUUUUAUUUUGUUGUUAUAUCCAAAUGGUAUAUGAGUUCGAAGCUAAAAUGUUAGUUGCAAUCAGCACGGUGAUGCUCGGUAAAUUUCCUAAUUGUGUAUGUUGAUUCUCCUUUUGGCAAACAACAGGGAGCAGCUCGGUUGUUGAAGUUGAUUGUUUUAUUAAGUUGUAAUCGUUUUUGCAGAAGAGACCAUUCUGGGCAUACUAUUAUAUACUUUGCAGUGUAGGGACUUUUAAAAAGAAUACAUGUUUAAGAAGAAACGAAAAUAACAGCAUUAUCUAGGAGAUUCUGCUUCUUUCAUCCUAGAAUGAUGCAGGGUUUCAUGCCAUUACAUCUGAUAUUUUGGUUGCUUCUGUGAGUAAAGAGAUCUACUUGGAUUAUACUACAGAGUACAUUUUUUUCUCUCAGAGAUUGAAUUUUCCUUACUAAUCCAUUUUAAUUUGCAGAUUCUCACUCACUGGUUCAUGAAAGUAGAAAGAGAAUGUAAACCGUAUCCACUUUUUCUUGGAUCAUUUGGGAUUGCUGAAUGGAAAAUACAUUCAAGGCACGAAAUCUAUGAGAAUCAUGACAAGUAAUUCUACCGAAAAGGAUUUCUCGGAAGUCCUAUCUGGCGAUUUGUAUUGAAUUGAGUUGAUUUAAACUAGAACUGAGAAACAAGUUAUCUUUGAAAAAAUGGUUAUUUCUUGCUCAAGGUUACCUAAAUAGUUGAACAGUUUUGAGUUUAUUAUAGUAAAUUGUUUUAAAACCUACCAUUGAUGAUGCAAGUUUCAACUGGACCAUAUCAGCUUAUUAUAGACGUGCUUGCACUUGGAAUGCGAGUUGGAACUGAAGGACAACUGCAGUUACUCAAUGAGAUGCUGACUAUAGUCUCCAAGCACUAUUUCUUGGAUCAUUUGGGAUUGCUGAAUGGAAAAUACAUUCAAGGCACGAAAUCUAUGAGAAUCAUGACAAGUAAUUCUACCGAAAAGGAUUUCUCGGAAGUCCUAUCUGGCGAUUUGUAUUGAAUUGAGUUGAUUUAAACUAGAACUGAGAAACAAGUUAUCUUUGAAAAAAAUGGUUAUUUCUUGCUCAAGGUUACCUAAAUAGUUGAACAGUUUUGAGUUUAUUAUAGUAAAUUGUUUUAAAACCUACCAUUGAUGAUGCAAGUUUCAACUGGACCAUAUCAGCUUAUUAUAGGAGUUGGAACUGAAGGACAACUGCAGUUACUCAAUGAGAUGCUGACUAUAGUCUCCAAGCAACAUAUUUGUUUUCAGUUGUUGCUCUCCUAGCUGGAAUCUCUAGAGAUGCUCACUGGAAUCUACAAUUUCUGUGGACACAUAGAAGACUCAAAUUGCCCCAGCUUGGAAGCUACCUCCUGAAGGUUUUAUAAAGGUUAACACCGAUGCUUCCUUCAUUUUUGAAUCUGGGGUUGGUAGCACUGCAGUGGUCACGCGGGAUCACCUUGGCAGCAUCAUCUUCUCUGCAGCCUGUCCGACGAGAGACUGUAACGGGCUGAAGAAGUAGAAGUUGAGGUUGUGCGUGCGUCUCAGCGUGAACUUUGGCUGCAGAGCAUUGUAAUGGGAUCUAACUGCUAAUCAAUUCCAGGCUGCGUAACCUCUCUGCCUCAUUUCUGAUUGUUGCCGUCAAUUUUCUAUAUAAACUUAUGAAAAAAAAUCCGAAAUGGGGAGCUUGGCCCUGGCCUAGAUAGAUUUCUGAAUAAUUGAACAGCCUCAUGUCGUGUGCAUUUCCAUUGAGAAAGAGUAGAAGACAUACUGAAGUUUUUUCAUAACAUGGUAUUUUCAUUAUUUCUG